rnacentral:rRNA from 1 species
AACGAACGCUGGCGGCAUGCCUAACACAUGCAAGUCGAACGAGACCUUCGGGUUUAGUGGCGCACGGGUGCGUAACGCGUGGGAACCUGCCCUCAGGUUCGGAAUAACUCCCCGAAAGGGGUGCUAAUACCGGAUAAUGUCUUCGGACCAAAGAUUUAUCGCCUUUGGAUGGGCCCGCGUUGGAUUAGCUAGUUGGUAGGGUAAAAGCCUACCAAGGCGACGAUCCAUAGCUGGUCUGAGAGGAUGAUCAGCCACACUGGGACUGCGACACGGGCCCGUCCGCGACGGAGCACAGCAGUAUAUAGCAUUAGGGGCUGAACCAUAAUCUAGUCCAGCAGUGCCGCGUAUGAGAUCAAGGCCUUAGUGUUGUACUGCUCUUUUACCCGAGACGAUAAUGACGGUACCGGGAGAAGAAGCUCCGGCUAACUCCGUG